rnacentral:ncRNA from 1 species
CCUGAGGACUGUAAUUGGAAUGAGUACACUCUUAAUAUCGUUUAACAAGGACCAAUUGGAGCGAUAGAGGGGGUGCCAGCAGCCGCGGUAAUUCCAGCUCCAAUAGCAUUAUAUGGAAAGUUGUUGCGGUUAAAACGUUCGUAGUUGAACUUGUGCUUCAUACGGGUAGUACAACUUACAAUUGUGGUUAGUACUAUACCUUUAUGUAUGUAAGCGUAUUACCGGUGGAGUUCUUAUAUGUGAUUAAAUACUUGUAUUUUUUCAUAUGUUCCUCCUAUUUAAAAACCUGCACUAGUGCUCUUAAACGAGUGUUAUUGUGGGCCGGUACUAUUACUUUGAACAAAUUAGAGUGCUUAAAGCAGGCUUCAAAUGCCUGAAUAUUCUGUGCAUGGGAUAAUGAAAUAAGACCUCUGUUCUGCUUUCAUUGGUUUUCAGAUCAAGAGGUAAUGAUUAAUAGAAGCAGUUUGGGGGCAUUAGUAUUACGACGCGAGAGGUGAAAUUCUUGGACCGUCGUAAGACUAACUUAAGCGAAAGCAUUUGCCAAAGAUGUUUUCAUUAAUCAAGAACGAAAGUUAGAGGUUCGAAGGCGAUCAGAUACCGCCCUAGUUCUAACCAUAAACGAUGCCAGCUAGCAAUUGGGUGUAGCUACUUUUAUGGCUCUCUCAGUCGCUUCCCGGGAAACCAAAGCUUUUGGGCUCCGGGGGAAGUAUGGUUGCAAAGCUGAAACUUAAAGGAAUUGACGGAAGGGCACCACCAGGAGUGGAGCCUGCGGCUUAAUUUGACUCAACACGGGAAAACUUACCAGGUCCGAACAUAAGUGUGUAAGACAGAUUGAUAGCUCUUUCUCGAAUCUAUGGGUGGUGGUGCAUGGCCGUUCUUAGUUCGUGGAGUGAUUUGUCUGGUUAAUUCCGAUAACGAACGAGACUCAAAUAUAUUAAAUAGAUAUCUUCAGGAUUAUGGUGCUGAAGCUUAUGUAGCCUCAUUCAUGGUGGCAGUAAAUGUUUAUUGUGUUGAUGUGUUUAUGUAGUGGAGCCGUACCUGUUGUUUGUCCAUAUAAGGACCUACUUCUUAAGGACAAUGCCCCACCAUAUGAAAUGACAAAACAGUCGUGAUCCCU